rnacentral:rRNA from 1 species
CAGCCGCCGCGGGAACACGAAGGGUGCAAGCGUUAAUCGGAAUUACUGGGCGUAAAGCGUGCGUAGGCGGUGAGUUAAGUCUGCUGUGAAAUCCCCGGGCUCAACCUGGGAAUGGCAGUGGAUACUGGCUCGCUAGAGUGUGUCAGAGGAUGGUGGAAUUCCCGGUGUAGCGGUGAAAUGCGUAGAGAUCGGGAGGAACAUCAGUGGCGAAGGCGGCCAUCUGGGACAACACUGACGCUGAGGCACGAAAGCGUGGGGAGCAAACAGGAUUAGAUACCCGGGUAGUCCCUGUCUCUUAUAA